rnacentral:rRNA from 1 species
UACGGAGGGGGCAAGCGUUGUUCGGAAUUACUGGGCGUAAAGGGCGCGCAGGCGGCUGCUCAAGUCAGGCGUGAAAGGCCUGGGCUCAACCCGGGAAUUGCGCUUGAGACUGGGCUGGCUUGAGUGCGGGAGAGGAUGGUGGAAUUCCCAGUGUAGAGGUGAAAUUCGUAGAUAUUCGCAAGAACACCAGUGGCGAAGGCGGCUCACUGGCCCGGUACUGACGCUGAGGUGCGAAAGCGUGGGGAGCAA